AAGAGACGAACAGGUCAUGGCAAUGGCAUUGCUCUGGCUUGCAGGCAUUGGAUCCAGUUUCUAAAAAUUUACACACACACACACACACACAAGCACAUACCCAUUUUAUUCACCCUCUAUAGGCUUGUGCCUCUAAUUUUAAGAUUUUCAGUUUGAUGUGUUGUGGGACAUCUCUGUAGUGGCUUAAAGAAAUAGAUGCAAAGAUGUGUGAUCUAGCUUCCAAUCUGCCAUUCUCCUGGGAUCAAAGUUAGAUGUCAGCAUUACUUUAUUCUAAUAUUUAACUGGUUCUUUGAAAUACUGUAGUUCAAAGAGAAAUGAGAGACAUUUCAAUAUUGUCAGAGUGGUUGACACUUUCUACCAUAUGGUCUCCAGAAAUAAAUGUGUAGGAAUUUUUUAAAGCCUCUAAUUUUAACUUGAUGGAAUUUAUUGAAAAUUAAUUUCAAGAUAACUCACUUUUCUGUCAACAUUUAAAUGACCAUUUUGCAGAAAUUUUCCAGACAGAGACAGAUCUUCCAGUCAUUCCCAAAGGUUUCAAAUCCAUUAUUGCUGAAUUACUAAUGACUUUUACUUGCGGAGCCCCUUUUUGACA
rnacentral:lncRNA from 1 species